rnacentral:lncRNA from 1 species
UGAAUAGUAUAUUAAAACUCUUUGACAAUAACACUACUAUUCAGUACUUGUGUGGUACAAGUAAUGGAAUAAAUUGAAUUCUCUGAUAAAUAAUUAGACCAAUUUCAGAUAAACAGAGCUUUUGAUAGCCAUUUGGACUCUCAAGGGAUGAUUAACAGAUAUACAAGUGUGGUUGUAUAAGCUAUUAACAUUCGAAAUACUCCUAGAAUUCUAAAUUGAAGGGAGUGUCACUUCCAAAUGAAUCCAUUGCGAUUCUGCAUGAGGACCUGAGACAAUCAAAGUGUCAGUUGCAGGUCGUGCUUUCCAAAUUGGCACACAAGAACAGAAGCCAAUUCUUGGCAGUUUAUAUAGCCCUUCUGCCCAAAUUAAGAGUUUCAUUUGAAAUUUACUUCAAUAAAAUAACUUAAAACCUCGUAAAGAACUGAUCUUGGAAGAUACCCACAUAGAUUUGAGAAGAAAACAACUUCUUCUGACAUAAGCGUGAAAACAAACGGAAAAAGUUUUGCUCUUGGUAUCACAAAAAAUGCUUAGUCAAAGCAGAACUGAAAAUAUAACUUGGAGAUGCUUCACUAAAUCACCAUUCACAUGACUAUUAGAAAUAGGAAAAGAUUACAAAUAGCUUCUUCCAUGCAGUGCAAAGGUAGUUCAUACAAGCAUAUUAUCAAACACCAUUCGUACAAUAUCGAGCAAAUUGGAUAAAGUUACUGACAUGUAUGUAAAAAUCCAAUAGCAUACUAUCCAGAAGAACAUAGCCUGUAGCUGAUACCCACCAAUACCAAAACUACACUAGAAAUAACAAAUUAAAUUAAAUGAACACUACAAGAAAAGAGGUUUUUAGCGGCAAUUAUUUAGUGGAAAUAAGUUAAUUGUUGCUAAUGUAUUCUGUAUAGGCCAAUGUUAGCAGCAAUUGGACAUUUGCCGAGAAUAAACACUUAUUACCGGCAAUUAAGAAAAAUUGCCACUAAAGCUUGCGUCUUUUACUAUAAUACUAAGGGGUCAUUUGGUAGGAUGCAUUGGAUAAUCUAAUGCAUGCAUUAACUUUGUGUAUUAAUAAUACAUUGUUUGGUAGACAUUUUGACUCUAUACAUUAGUUAUGCAAGCAUUAGUUAUACAUCCUAUUUGGUAUUAUCCUAUGCAUAACUAAUGCAUAGAAAAUAAUGGUAUUAGCAAUCAAUGCAAUGGGUUUUAAUGCAUGCAUCAGCUUAGUUAAAGACAAAAUUGUCCUUCAAAAUUUAUGCUUGAUUAAAAUAUGCUAGUAAGUAUAUUAAUGCAAGUUCAAAAUAAUCCAAAUAGUGAAAAAUAAAAUUAUAUCCCUAGUAAAUAAAUAAAUACUUAACAUAUUUCCUUUUUUUAUAAAUAAAUAUUUUAUUUUAUUUUACAAUAUAGGUAGACAAAUAAAAUAAUUUUUUUAAACUUUUUCAUAUAAAAACAUUUCUCAACAUAUGUUUCUUUUAAAAAGUUAGAGUGUGGACUAGUUUUGAGGGCAUUUUGUAAACAAAUAGUUCUUUUAGAAACUGUGCAAUGCUUUACAGCAUCAAACCAAACAAUGAAUAAGAAAUAUGUCAGCAUAAAUAAUACCAGCAUAACUAAUGCAAGCAUAACUAAUACCAGCAUUACUAAUACACCCUAUUCAGUAUUAUUCUUAUGCACCCUACCAAACGACCCCUAAGAAGUCCAAGAGCGGCAUUUUCUUUCACACUCCCUCCAAAUUGUUUUUCAUUUCCCUCCUUCAUUUUUGUAUUUUUUUCAUCAAGAACCUAGAGGAAUGGAAAAAUUAAAAUCAAUUGGAAUCCUAACACCCAACAUUCAUCUCUAUGUCCAGUUGGAUCGAUUACUCUGGUAUGUCAUCAUCAACUUAAUCUUCUUUUUCUUUUGAUUGCUACUAGAUAAAGAUCCAUUAUUUCCCUAAUAAAUUAAUGAAGAACAUCAAAAUAGUUUGAGUCUCUCUUGUUGUUGCAUAGUUUUUGUUGCUUUUUCUUAUUCAUCGUCACUCGUUAAUGAGAUACGAACCACUAGGCAUGCUUUUUCCUUUGAAAUUGAAGAAGCCAAAAGUUGUGCCUACGAGCUCAAGGUACCUUCUAAUCUCUUUAUUUUAUUUAUUCUGAUAAAUUGCAAGUAUCUAUUAGGAAUUUUUUCCAAAUAAUUUUUUGCAUCAGGUGCUUUGUGAACUAUUAUUAAUUUCUGGAGAAUUUAUUUUUAUUUUAUUUUGUAGUCAUGUUCUUUUGGCCAUUGAAAUUAUUUGUAUCCAGAGAAUGAAAUUUACUCUCUGCAUACUACAGAUCUGAACAGUAAAAAUAAAUCUUGAGAAAUUGUAGGUAAAAAAAGUAGUAAGAAAGAAAUCUUCAAAAUGUUUGUGGAUACAAAGAACUUUGGAUAUGUAGUUGCUCUGAAUAGUCCAAAUUUAAUUGUUGCUAACUAAAUAUACAGAUAAAAGAAAUGAGAAAAGAUAAAUAAGUUAUUUUAAUCCGAUAAGUACCGAAAGAAUCGAAUACGCAGACCAAAAAGAUAGUGUUGAUCCCUUAAGUAAUAUUACUCUAGCCAUGUGAAUCGGGCUAUAAUUUUCAAUUUUCUCUUUUGAUGAAUUACCUAUUAAAACUACUUUCUUCAAACAAGGUGUUAUUGGAUAGUUUCAUAUGAAUUCUUUAUAUUAGCGGAUAAACAAAUGAAAACCCAAAAGACGUCAUGCUUUUAUCUAUAGCUUAUCAAGAGGUUUUUGGAUAGCUGUAUUAGCAUUAUGUUCAAUCUUUUUAUUACCCCUCUAUAAUAAAUUAAUAUUCUAGAAGUCAGGUAUGCACAAAUGUACUUUGUUAUAAUUGGCUUUCUGAAUUAAUGUAGCUCUCAAGAGAGUAAGGACUGAAAAUAGUGAGAAUUUUAUUAUCGUGAUCAGUAAUAUGCUGCUCUGUUUCCCUUGCACAAAUAGAUCAGAAACUAUUACAAGGUACUAGGGAAGCCAAAUGUAGUACAGUGCAAAAGUUAAAAUACUAAUCCUAUUCUACUAGAUUUUCGCUAUACUUGAAAACUUAAAAGAUUUAUUUUCUAUCCACAAUGUCGUUGUUGCAGUAGUUGGAUAAGUUCCUGCUACUGAGCAUUACUUUGUUCAUCUUCAAUGGGAUUAGUUUAUUGUAAAUUUGUCUUCUUCUACUUCUCUUUAAUAUUCUUAUGUCUAUAUCAUUAAGAUGAUGUUCGAUAGAGUAAAAUUAGUUUUUAACAUCUAACUUGAUAUCAGCACAGAGUUUGGUGGAGAUUUUCUUAAGCCCACAUUGGAGGCAGGUUUAUACAUUGUAAUAUGUCUACUUGUUUCCUAAUAUAUUGAUAUAUACUAGGUUCUCGAGGCAAAAGGCAGCCAUGCACAACCGACAUAAACACCAUGAAUGCCAUUUCAAAGUAAAGAUUACUUUUCUUUUUUCAUAUUUGAAUGUAUGUUUUUCAUCUCCAUUCUGCAACUUGCUAUUUCUGCAAUAUCCAUGGUAGUUGUUAGAUCCUUCUUUUCAGGCAUGCUGCUAGUUUGUUAGUAUAGCAAUGUUAAUAAAUUCUCAUAGUUCUAGAUUAUCUUAAACUUCUAAAUGCUUUAAUGUGAUUGGAGACAUGAUGUAAUAUGUUGGUGAAUGAAAUCUAAGUUGCGUAUUUUUUCUCUUCUUUUCUUUAUUCACUUUCAUUUACAUUUCAUUUGUGCCUUGUUUUUCAUUCUAUUAUUCAUUUUUGUCCUACUUGAGUUUGAUCAGUAGCAUUUGCAGAAUUGAGUUUGUCCGGCAUGCCCCUAGAGAUGUGAACAAACUUUUUGGGUAAUUAAUUUCAGAUAGAUAUUCCUCCCUCGAUCAUAUAUUCAUACAUGUGUAUUAUAUUGUAUAUUGUCCUUUUAUCUUCCGGUUCUUGAAUUUAAUUGCUCGGAUUCAUUGGUGUAUCAAAUAUAUAGGAAUGUAUAUUUUGAUUCUAGUUAUGAAGAUUAUGAGAUGGUCCAGUACCCAAGGUGAGAAAGAUCACAGGUGCCAAAGCUACUAUUUCUUCUCCUAGUUCGACUCCAAUAGAUAUCAAGUAUCAAAGGGAGAAGCACAAAGGGAGUGGACAUGCUUCUGAUAGAGGAAUCUAUGAGAAAAUCAAAGUUGGAUGCACAGACACCUCUUAACCUCAUUCAAGUGGUAAAAAGAAAACAUAUGGGGAAGAUGCCAUUAAGGUAUAUGAGUGCUUUACUUUGCUUCCAACUUUUUAUAUAUUCGAUCAGUGUCUAUGGUUCUAGUGACAUCUUACUUUGCCUUGAAAUUAAGAAUAAUUUCUAUUGAAAAAGUAGAAACUCAUUUUUAUGUCAUCCUUGAACAAUUUGUAUAUAAUGGGGAUCAUCUACUACCUCCCUAGUUAACUUUUAAGUAAAACUUGUUUAAAUUACUCUUUAAUUGUCUCAAAGAAAGAAAGCAAAAUUUGAUAGUAUCUGUAUUUGUCUAAUAAGGCAAUAUCUUCUGAAAGAAAAGAUUUCGAAAGGUCGAAUAAGAAAAAGUUGUAUAUAAACUAUCAGUAUUUGUUUACCAGCAAGCAUAAAAAUUUAUACACCAAACAUACAUCAAGCAUUGUAUUCUAUUGACCGAACAUAAGUAAAUUAAUAAAGUAUAAAAAACCAAGUAAUGUCAUUUAUCUUAUAGGCUGGACAACUAAAAACAUAAAUUUUAUUAUAUUGUUAGCAUGGUCCAGAUUCAGUUUAGAUUUUUACCAUUUCAUGUAAUUGUAGUGGAACGGCGACACGAGCAAGUGGUCUUGUAAGUCUAAAGUACAAAAGUAAGUAGUUUGUGAAAAAUCAAGUUGAAAGAGCUACUUGCCACAUAGUAUAGAUUGUUAGGAUCCUUAUAUAUUGACCUUAUGCUAUUAAUUGAAAUUUGUUUAAGGUUUUUUAUUUAUUUUUCCCUCUGUGUUGGCUUAAAAUUUUGCAUGCAUAACAUAUAAGUGAAUGAGGAACAUAUGCUUUGAUAGUUGAUACUAACCAAACUCUUCAGUACAUGCUUUGUUGCAAAAUUCCAGAAGUUUCUCUGGUAUUGCUUAAAGCAAUUUUAUGGUUAUCAGGUUUAAAGUAGUUGUGCAAUUAUCACAGUCAUAGCUUACCACUACAACAAAAGAAAUACUAAUUUUAUACUUUAAUUUGUUUCCUGUAAAGGUACUACAUUAUGAAAGGCAUAUAGCUUUGGAGACUAGUGGCGUGGUAUAUAUGGUAUGUGAAGCCAGACAACUAUUCUUUGAAUAGUAAGGCAAAGAUUAAAUAGUUAUUCAGAUAAUCUGGCACGUGGAAGAUUUCAUCAUGAUCAAGAGUUGGAAAGACUUUAAUGGCAUCAUUUAUUGUAUAGUAUUGUAGCAAUUUGAUAAUGCCAGUUAGUAGACAGUAAAUCAUACUAGUUAUUAGAUUCAAAUAGUUUACCUUUUUGGAUAUGUUGUUGAUACUUUGAAACUAUGGAUUUGUAUAUUUUGUUGUGAAUUUAAUGAAGUGUAUUAAACUUUUUGAAAAUGAAUCUUAUUCUUAUUAUAAUUGAAUUUGAAUUUGAAUAAUGUGCAUUACAGGUUAUGAAAGAAACUUUUCUUAAUUCUUACUAGCAAUAAGAAAGUUCGUUAAGAAGGCAAUCAGAUGGGUUUUACUGCCUAUAACAAAAGCUUUUAAAUAUAUAAACAAAGACCAAUUCAUAGAUAGUUGUAGCGACAAUUAUAUCUAUCGCUAAAAGAACACUUUUUACUAGCAAUUGAGUAGGUCUUUACCAACAAUAACAAAAGCCAUAAAAUGUAUGAUGUUCGAUAUCAUAGGGGAGUUUCAGUAACCAUUUUAAUUACCAGUAAAUAAUUGCCGCUAAAACUCAUGUACGUUUAGCGGCAAUAAAAGGGAUCUUUACCAGCACUUCGUGCAAUGGCCGCUAAAUCCUUUAGAGACGCUGGCAAUACCGUCCAAAGUCUAAUUGUUGGUAAAUGUUUAACGUCAAUUUUUAUUGCCGCUAAAGAGCAUAUUAAUUGCCGCGAAUAGACUUUUUUGUAGUAGUGGAAAGCAAGAAUAGAGAAAAAAAUCACCAAAAUUGAACAAAAUAAAGCGCACACCACAGACAACUUGGAACUAAAAUUGAGAAAUUUGAAAAAUAAAACCCUCAAUUACAGAUGCAUGGGACGCGCAACAUUUACCAACCAAGUACGAAGAAGACAUUUAAACAAAUACUUCAAUAAUGAUAAUCCUGGCAAGCCCAAAAAAAAAAAACCACCGAGAUCCAUAAAAACCAACUUUGAAGGAGAAGGUACAAUACGAAUACUUUCGAUUAAAGGAUAAAUAAAAAAAGAGCAGUGAAAUUGGUAUCAAAGCAAGGAAGAGCUUAAAUAAUUUAGAACAACCUCAUAGAUUACAGUGAAAACAAAAUCAUUACUCACUUAACCACUUGACAGAAGAUGAAGCAGAACACCAUACAGAGAAAUAAAGAAGAUGAAAUGACCAGAAUAUCUUUUAGUAGGCGAGACGACGCCUCUUCUUACGCAAAGACCUUCGACUAACCAAUGAUAUCAGGAAUAAAAUCACAAAGAAGCUUACCCUUUCACCUGAGAAUCUUGCGGAGCAGCAACACACGACUUCGAAUUUCAGAGUUCUGCAGCAAAAAACUUGCAAUUUCGAAAGUUUUCUUCUAUUUUUCAGACAUUAACCCUAGAUUCACGCCCAUUUUUUUUUGUAUUUGAAGUGAAAAACUCACAUUGUUGAAGAAUAUUGAGAGUGAGAGCCUGUCUGAUAGAGAGGAGAGAAAGUGGGUGUGUUGCCCUAAUUGUAUUGAGAGUGGGAGUCUGAUAGAGAGAAGUGAGCGUGUUGUCCUAAUUUUAUUUUUAGGACAAAAUUUUAGCGACGAAAUUGGCGAUGGAUCAAAUUUCUGUCGCUAAUAAUAACUAAUGAAAUUUUAUUUUAAUGGAACUAGAUUUUUAGCAACGGAA